UUGGGUGACAGGUCUGACAAUUGAUCAUAUUCCACUCAACGCCUUCAGCGGACUUUCCAACCUCCAGUGGCUUAUGCUGUUCAAUGUGUCGGGAAAGACCAAGACCAAGACAAUUUCAAACAUCGAAAAAGGUGCUUUUGGAGGGAUACGGACUUCACACCUGAAUUUGACGAUCGUUGAUGAUUACCGCCUAUGCUGUGUCGUUUCUGAGCUACAGAAUUUUUCCGUCGAGGACGACUGCCUGACAACAAAGGUUAAACCAGCUUUGAACCUGUGCGACAGCCUUAUGCCAAACGUCAUAUUGCGAGUGGCAUUAUGGGUAUUAGGAAUAAGCGCCCUCAUCGGUAAUUUUUCUGUGCUGAUUUGGAGGCUUAAGCGGAAAGGGAAAGAAGGGACAAAAAAGACAUUGUCACUUAUGGUUUGCAA